rnacentral:rRNA from 1 species
GAGUUUGAUCAUGGCUCAGAUUGAACGCUGGCGGCAUGCCUUACACAUGCAAGUCGAACGGCAGCACGGGAGCUUGCUCCUGGUGGCGAGUGGCGAACGGGUGAGUAAUGCAUCGGAACGUAUCCUGGAGUGGGGGAUAACGUAGCGAAAGUUACGCUAAUACCGCAUAUUCUGUGAGCAGGAAAGCGGGGACCUUCGGGCCUCGCGCUCUUGGAGCGGCCGAUGUCGGAUUAGC